rnacentral:rRNA from 1 species
AUUGAACGCUGGCGGCAGGCCUAACACAUGCAAGUCGAACGAGUGGCGGACGGGUGAGUAAUGUCUGGGAAACUGCCCGAUGGAGGGGGAUAACUACUGGAAACGGUAGCUAAUACCGCAUACCAUCGGAUGUGCCCAGAUGGGAUUAGAUAGUAGGUGGGGUAAUGGCUCACCUAGGCGACGAUCCCUAGCUGGUCUGAGAGGAUGACCAGCCACACUGGAACUGAGACACGGUCCAGACUCCUACGGGAGGCAGCAGUGGGGAAUAUUGCACAAUGGGCGCAAGCCUGAUGCAGCCAUGCCGCGUGUGUGAAGAAGGCCUUCGGGUUGUAAAGCACUUUCAGCGGGGAGGCGUUACCCGCAGAAGAAGCACCGGCUAACUCCGUGCCAGCAGCCGCGGUAAUAC